GAUGAACGCUGGCGGCGUGCCUAAUACAUGCAAGUCGAGCGAACGGACGAGAAGCUUGCUUCUCUGAUGUUAGCUGCGGACGGGUGAGUAACACGUGGAUAACCUACCUAUAAGACUGGGAUAACUUCGGGAAACCGUAGCUAAUACCGGAUAAUAUUUUGAACCGCAUGGUUCAAAAGUGAAAGACGUUCUUGCUGUCACUUAUAGAUGGAUCCUCGCUGCAUUAGCUAGUUGGUAAGGUAACGGCUUACCAAGGCAACGAUGCAUAGCCGACCUGAGAGGGUGAUCGGCCACACGGGAACUGAGACACGGUCCAGACUCCUAAGGGAGGCAGCAGUAGGGAAUCUUACGCAAUGGGCGAAAGACUGACGGAGCAAAGCCGCGUGAGUGAUGAAGGUCUUCGGAUCGUAAAACUAUGUUAUUAGGGAAGAACAUAUGUGUAAGUAACUGUGCACAUCUUGACGGUACCUAAUCAGAAAGCCACGGCUAACUACGUG
rnacentral:rRNA from 1 species